UUGGGUUUGCUAACUUCACUUCAAUAUAUGUUUGCAUGUUUGCCAGAGCGGCCACUUGCAAAAAUGAUCAAAAAAUUGCUGAACAGACUGGAACUGGUCCAAUCAGUUUUCUCUCACUUAGUAGGUCAGUUCGUUCAAUUUUAUACAAACGAAGUCGGUGUAAGGGAACUUAGAACUGUAAUAUUUUAUUUAAUACAAAGGUUAUAAGCCGACGCAAGAUUCCAAAGCUUUAUGAAGUUGGACUAAGGAGCAUUCAGCAUGCCUAAUCCCUUUCUCAAGAAUAAGUGGAGCCUUCUUCUUUAUCCAGAGCAGGCCCCUUCUACACAAAACAACUUCCCCACAUUUUCUCAGUGGUUUUACACCACAACAAGGCUAAGUCACAUAACUCAGAGACAAAACAAGUUUUACACCACAACAGGGCUGAGUCAAGCAACUUAGAGAUAGAAAAAGGGAUGGUGCAAUCUACAAAGGGAGGAUGGAGGGGACAAGGUGGAUGUUCUAGACCAAUAUCAGCUUUAUACAUAGAGGCCCAGAUGCACUGCCUUAGACAAGAAACCUACGAGACAAGGUGGAGGCCCUUUUAAAUGAUUCAACUCAAGCAGUAUCAGAUUUGGGCCUACAAGUGUCCAUAAAUGUAGAGUAUGAUAGAGAUCAGGAAAAUAUUAUUAUGGGUAUGGCAAUUAAUGGCAAUUUUGUUCUAUGGAU